ensembl:miRNA Mir1960 microRNA 1960
CAGAGUGAGCAGCCAGUGCUGUUAGAAGAGGGCUGAGAGCAGGGAGAGCUCUCUUCUGCAGCACUGACUUUUCCUCUG